rnacentral:ncRNA from 1 species
AUAGUAUUUAUGCCUCUAACUGGAACGUACCUUGAGCCUAUAUGCUGUGACCCGAAAGAUGGUGAACUAUACUUGUUCAGGUUGAAGUCAGGGGAAACCCUGAUGGCAGACCUGAUGGGGCGAAAGACCAAUCGAACCAUCUAGUAGCUGGUUCCUUUCGAAGUUUCCCUCAGGAUAGCUGGUGCAUUUUAAUGUUAUAUAAAAUAAUCUUAAUUGGUAAAGCGAAUGAUUAGAGGCCUUAGGGUCGAAACGAUCUUAACCUAUUCUCAAACUUUAAAUGGGUAAGAACCUUAACUUUCUCGAUAUGAAGUUUAAGGUUAUGAUAUAAUGUGCCCAGUGGGCCACUUUUGGUAAGCAGAACUGGCGCUGUGGGAUGAAUCAAACGUAAUGUUACGGUGGCCAAAUUAACAACUCAUGCAAAAACCAUGAAAGGCGUUGGUUGCUUAAAACAGCAGGAUGGUGAUCAUGGAAGUCGAAAUCCGCUAAGGAGUGUGUAACAACUCACCUGCCGAAGCAACUAGCCCUUAAAAUGGAUGGCGCUUAAAUUGUAUACCUAUACAUUACCGCUAAAGUAGAUGAUUUAUAUUACUCGUGAUAUAAAUUUUGAAACUUUAGUGAGUAGGAAGGUACAAUGGUA